GCCACCGUAGCUGAGUGGUAACACUCAUGACUGUGAUUCAUCCUGCCGUGGGUUUGAAACCCACUACGGUCUGAGGUU